rnacentral:rRNA from 1 species
UACAGAGGGGGCAAGCGUUAUUCGGAAUUAUUGGGCGUAAAGGGCGCGUAGGCGGCUUUGCAAGUGGCGGGUGAAAUCCCUCGGCUUAACCGAGGAACUGCCUGCCAGACUGUGAGGCUUGAAACCGGGAGAGGUGAGUGGAAUUCCCAGUGUAGCGGUGAAAUGCGUAGAUAUUGGGAGGAACACCGGUGGCGAAGGCGGGUCUCUGGGCCGAUACUGACGCUGAGGAGCGAAAGCGUGGGGAGCAAACAGG